rnacentral:tRNA from 1 species
GGUGGCUCAGCGGUAGAGUGCAUGCUUUGCAAGCAUGAGGCCCUGGGUUUGAUUCCUCAGCACCA